rnacentral:rRNA from 1 species
AGUCUUAGUUCGGAUUGUAGGCUGCAACUCGCCUACAUGAAGUCGGAGUUGCUAGUAAUCGCGGAUCAGAAUGCCGCGGUGAAUGCGUUCCCGGGUCUUGUACACACCGCCCGUCACACCAUGGAAGUUGGGGGCGCCCGAAGUUGCCUAAGAAAUAAGGUACCUAAGGCGAAACCAAUGACUGGGGUGAAGUCGUAACAAGGUACC